AUUGAACGCUGGCGGCAGGCCUAACACAUGCAAGUCGAACGAGUGGCGGACGGGUGAGCUAUGUCUGGGAAACUGCCUGAUGGAGGGGGAUCACUACUGGAAACGGUUGCCAAUACCGCAUACCAUCAGAUGUGCCCAGAUGGGAUGAGCUUGUUGGUGGGGUAACGGCUCACCAAGGCGACGAUCCCUAGUUGGUCUGAGAGGAUGACCAGCCACACUGGAACUGAGACACGGUCCAGACUCCUACGGGAGGCAGCAGUGGGGAAUAUUGGACAAUGGGCGCAAGCCUGAUACAGCCAUGCCGCGUGUAUGAAGAAGGCCUUCGGGUUGUAAAGUACUUUAAGCGGGGAGGCGUUACCCGCAGAAGAAGCACCGGCUAACUCCGUGCCAGCAGCCGCGGUAAUAC
rnacentral:rRNA from 1 species